rnacentral:rRNA from 1 species
UACGGGGGGAGCAAGCGUUGUUCGGAUUUACUGGGCGUAAAGGGCGCGUAGGCGGUCAGCACAAGUCAGUUGUGAAAUCUCCGGGCUUAACUCGGAAAGGUCAACUGAUACUGUGCGACUAGAGUGCAGAAGGGGCAACUGGAAUUCUCGGUGUAGCGGUGAAAUGCGUAGAUAUCGAGAGGAACACCUGCGGCGAAGGCGGGUUGCUGGGCUGACACUGACGCUGAUGCGCGAAAGCGUGGGGAGCGAACGGG